rnacentral:rRNA from 1 species
UGGGGAAUAUUGGACAAUGGGGGGAACCCUGAUCCAGCAAUGCCGCGUGUGUGAAGAAGGCCUGAGGGUUGUAAAGCACUUUCGGUGGGGAGGAUAUUUAUUUUGUUAAGAGCGGGAUAGAGAGACGUUACCCACAGAAGAAGCACCGGCUAACUCCGUGCCAGCAGCCGCGGUAAUACGGAGGGUGCGAGCGUUAAUCGGAAUUACUGGGCGUAAAGGGUGCGUAGGUUGUUUUUUAAGUUAUCUGUAAAAUCCCUGGGCUCAACCUGGGCAUGUCAGAUAAGACUGAAGGACUGGAGUAUAGGAGAGGGUAGUGGAAUUUCCGGUGUAGCGGUGAAAUGCGUAGAGAUCGGAAGGAACACCGGUGGCGAAGGCGGCUACCUGGCCUAAUACUGACACUGAGGCACGAAAGCGUGGGGAGCAAACAGGAUUAGAUACCCCCGUAGUCC